rnacentral:rRNA from 1 species
UGGGGAAUUUUGGACAAUGGGGGAAACCCUGAUCCAGCCAUCCCGCGUGUGCGAUGAAGGCCUUCGGGUUGUAAAGCACUUUUGGCAGGAAAGAAACGUCGCGGGUUAAUACCCCGCGAAACUGACGGUACCUGCAGAAUAAGCACCGGCUAACUACGUGCCAGCAGCCGCGGUAAUACGUAGGGUGCAAGCGUUAAUCGGAAUUACUGGGCGUAAAGCGUGCGCAGGCGGUUCGGAAAGAAAGAUGUGAAAUCCCAGAGCUUAACUUUGGAACUGCAUUUUUAACUACCGGGCUAGAGUGUGUCAGAGGGAGGUGGAAUUCCGCGUGUAGCAGUGAAAUGCGUAGAUAUGCGGAGGAACACCGAUGGCGAAGGCAGCCUCCUGGGAUAACACUGACGCUCAUGCACGAAAGCGUGGGGAGCAAACAGGAUUAGAUACCCUGGUAGUCCACGCCCUAAACGAUGUCAACUAGCUGUUGGGGCCUUCGGGCCUUGGUAGCGCAGCUAACGCGUGAAGUUGACCGCCUGGGGAGUACGGUCGCAAGAUUAAAACUCAAAGGAAUUGGAC